UCACUGUGUCUCUCGCACAGUAAUACAUGGCCGUGUCCGCGGCGGUCACAGAGCUCAGCUUCAGGGAGAACUGGUUCUUGGACGUGUCUGUUGAAAUGGUGACUCGACUCUUGAGGGAGGGGUUGUAGUUGGUGCUACUACCACUACUAUAGAUACGCCCAAUCCACUCCAGCCCCUUCCCUGGGGCCUGGCGGAUCCAGCUCCAGUAGUAACUACUGCUGAUGGAGCCACCAGAGACAGCGCAGGUGAGGGACAGGGUCUCCGAAGGCUUCACCAGUCCUGGGCCCGACUCCUGCAGCUGCACCUGGGACAGGACCCCUGUGAACAGAGAGACCCACAGUGAGCCCUGGGAUCAGAGACAACCUCCCAUAUCGUCAUAUCUGCAUCCCCGAGACACUCACAUCUGGGAGCUGCCACCAGGAGGAGGAAGAACCACAGGUGCUUCAUGUUCUUGCACAGGAUGUCCGUGACUCUCAGAGAGCAUUUCCCAUGUGAGCUGGACCCUGAAUUUAAGGAAAUGUGUAGUCGUUUCCUGUAGGUGCCUAAGUUAGGAUUUGCAUGUGGGUGGUGCCUUUGUAUGGAGAGGUGAAAAGGGAUGAGGGAGGCCCUGGUCUUUUGUGUUCACCCUUGGAGGAGGAUGUUGGCUGUGCCCUCUGAGAACUCAGUUCUCUUCCUGGGGCCUCCCCUCACCAAGCCCAGAGUCCUCUUCUUCCAGGAGCUGAACAAGUGGGCUGACCUUCUGUGAGAAGACAGAGGGAAAGAGACAGACAGACUCAAUAUCCAGAGCGAAACUCUCUUGGAUGUCCAGAUUUGAAUACGUGGAGUGUUGAUGGAACUCAACAUAACUAGGAACUUUUCAAUGAAGAUGACUGGGGAGUCCCUUACCUGUUGCUGCUGCCACCAAGAAGAGGAUCCUCCAGGUCCAGUCCAUGGUGAGGAGCUGUGCACUAGGGGAUUCUCCCGAGGAGGAGUGUGGUUGUUGGGUUAUGCUCUCAGGGCACAGAGAUACUAUAUUCAUCUCAGUUAUUUGCAUAUUCGUGAAGGAUGCUAUUUAAUAGCCCAAUUCCUGACCCAGUGUGAGAAAGAGCAAAAGGUGAGGGUUCAAGCCAUAAUCCUGUUAGAGGCCAUGCGUCCCCUACACAUCCCUGAACUCUGUGUCGACAGAGCUUCCCCCACGGGUGAACAAGCUCCCCCAGGACACGCACCUCACUUUGAACCCACAUUUGAAUAUCUCAGGGCAACUUGAACCAUUUGUAGACCUUACUGUGUGAACGAGUUAUUUGGGAAUGUGUGUUGCUCCAAAACUUGCACUUAUUUAUAAAAAAGGAUCUCUUCCUGACCUCCAGCUGCUUACUGCUAAGAUAUCCAGCAGAGUUUGAAAUCCCCAUUGUAAAAGUGGUUCUCAUUACAACAUCCGGUUUGAUAAAUGCUCACAAUUGAAUAGAUACUUAUACAAACUUCAGCAGUCUGUGCGAAAUAUUUAUUUUAGAUAUUUUUAAAGGAAGUCCCAGGCCCUGGGAGGAACCUCUCCCCAGUCUCCUGUGCACCUGCUCUGGGUGUAUCCGGAGCGCCCCCUGCAGCCCAGCCCCCACCAUGCAG
ensembl:lncRNA